AAUUUUAUAACAAAAAAUGAAUCGAGUAAAAAAUACCAAAAAGACAAACAUAAUGUUGGUUUUCAAACCAGCUCAUGAGAAGACAUUACAAACCAAAUAAAUUCAAAGAACAAAUAUUUUUUUUAAUAAAUCAUAUAACCCAAGGCUAUCUAAAUCAUAUAACCCGAGCCAUCAAUCUGUAAAUUGAGAAACAGUACAUCAGCUCAAAGACCUAACUCUUCUGUUGUCUUUUUUCCUUCUUAAUCAUAAAUAAAUAAAGCUUCUUCUCUGGAUAAGAAGAUUCCUCGCUGAUACUUA
rnacentral:lncRNA from 1 species